rnacentral:rRNA from 1 species
GACGGACGCUGGCGGCGUGCCUAAUACAUGCAAGUCGAGCGGAGUUUUUUUGAAAGCUUGCUUUCAAAACAACUUAGCGGCGGACGGGUGAGUAACACGUAGGCAACCUGCCCCUUAGACUGGGAUAACUACCGGAAACGGUAGCUAAUACCGGAUAUUUUCUUUUUUCUCCUGAAGGAAGAAUGAAAGACGGAGCAAUCUGUCACUGAGGGAUGGGCCUGCGGCGCAUUAGCUAGUUGGUGGGGUAACGGCCCACCAAGGCGACGAUGCGUAGCCGACCUGAGAGGGUGAACGGCCACACUGGGACUGAGACACGGCCCACACUCCUACGGGAGGCAGCAGUAGGGAAUCUUCCGCAAUGGACGAAAGUCUGACGGAGCAACGCCGCGUGAGUGAUGAAGGUUUUCGGAUCGUAAAGCUCUGUUGCCAGGGAAGAACGUCCGGUAGAGUAACUGCUAUCGGAGUGACGGUACCUGAGAAGAAAGCCCCGGCUAACUACGUGCCAGCAGCCGCGGUAAUACGUAGGGGGGCAAGCGCUGUC